UACGUAGGGUGCAAGCGUUAAUCGGAAUUACUGGGCGUAAAGCGUGCGCAGGCGGUUAUGCAAGACAGAUGUGAAAUCCCCGGGCUCAACCUGGGAACUGCAUUUGUAACUGCAUGGCUAGAGUACGGCAGAGGGGGAUGGAAUUCCGCGUGUAGCAGUGAAAUGCGUAGAUAUGCGGAGGAACACCGAUGGCGAAGGCAAUCCCCUGGGCCUGUACUGACGCUCAUGCACGAAAGCGUGGGGAGCAAACAGG
rnacentral:rRNA from 1 species